rfam:Capsicum annuum cultivar Zunla-1 unplaced genomic scaffold scaffold742, whole genome shotgun sequence
UAUUGGUGCUGUGGGCAUCUAUGUAAGGAGACUUGAAUCUUUCCCAUGCAUGAUAGAGAUUUUCAUCUGGCUUCUUCUAGAAACUUAAGAUCACACUCAUCAACCU